AUGCGUGGCCUAGUGUUGUCCUGGGCAGGUGUGUCGUCGGCUUUCGCUCUGACGGCCGCCACCCCCUCAAUUGACGUCUGGUGGCACGAAGGCCUAAAGGAGAACGACAACACUAUCAGAAGGCGACACAGUGGCAUCCUCAUUUAUAUAAUGUGGAAUGCCUGAAAGGAGAGGAACAAACACAUCCUUGAAGAAACGAGACUGUCAUACAUUGAGGUGGCCCAUCUCGCCUUCGAGGAGAUUUCGCAGCGGGAGUUGGCCUUCAGGCCACGAGCGAUCCCAAUUCAUGAGUAG
rnacentral:rRNA from 1 species